ACUCAAAGGAAUUGACGGGCACCCGCACAAGCGGUGGAGCAUGCUGUUUAAUUCGAAGAUACGCGAAGAACCUUACCUAGGUUUGACAUCCCGGGCAAAGCUAUAGAGAUAUAGUGGAGGCUAUCCCGGUGACAGAUGGUGCAUGGUUGUCGUCAGCUCGUGUCGUGAGAUGUUUGGUUAAGUCCAACAACGAGCGCAACCCUCGUCCUUAGUUGCUAACAUUUAGUUGAGAACUCUAGGGAUACUGCCGGCGCAAGCCGGAGGAAGGUGAGGAUGACGUCAAAUCAUCAUGCCUCUUACAUCUAGGGCUACAGGCGUGCUACAAUGGCUGGUACAACGAGUCGCAACACGGUGACGUGAAGCUAAUCUCUAAAAGCCAGUCCCAGUUCGGAUUGGAGUCUGCAACUCGACUCCAUGAAGUUGGAAUCGCUAGUAAUCCCGAAUCAGAAUGUCGGGGUGAAUACGUUCCCGGGUGUUGUACACACCGCCCGU
rnacentral:rRNA from 1 species